rnacentral:rRNA from 1 species
GGGACACGUGGUAUCCUGUCUGAAUAUGGGGGGACCAUCCUCCAAGGCUAAAUACUCCUGACUGACCGAUAGUGAACCAGUACCGUGAGGGAAAGGCGAAAAGAACCCCGGCGAGGGGAGUGAAAAAGAACCUGAAACCGUGUACGUACAAGCAGUGGGAGCACGCUUAGGCGUGUGACUGCGUACCUUUUGUAUAAUGGGUCAGCGACUUAUAUUCUGUAGCAAGGUUAACCGAAUAGGGGAGCCGAAGGGAAACCGAGUCUUAACUGGGCGUUAAGUUGCAGGGUAUAGACCCGAAACCCGGUGAUCUAGCCAUGGGCAGGUUGAAGGUUGGGUAACACUAACUGGAGGACCGAACCGACUAAUGUUGAAAAAUUAGCGGAUGACUUGUGGCUGGGGGUGAAAGGCCAAUCAAACCGGGAGAUAGCUGGUUCUCCCCGAAAGCUAUUUAGGUAGCGCCUCGUGAAUUCAUCUCCGGGGGUAGAGCACUGUUUCGGCAAGGGGGUCAUCCCGACUUACCAACCCGAUGCAAACUGCGAAUACCGGAGAAUGUUAUCACGGGAGACACACGGCGGGUGCUAACGUCCGUCGUGAAGAGGGAAACAACCCAGACCGCCAGCUAAGGUCCCAAAGUCAUGGUUAAGUGGGAAACGAUGUGGGAAGGCCCAGACAGCCAGGAUGUUGGCUUAGAAGCAGCCAUCAUUUAAAGAAAGCGUAAUAGCUCACUGGUCGAGUCGGCCUGCGCGGAAGAUGUAACGGGGCUAAACCAUGCACCGAAGCUGCGGCAGCGACGCUUAUGCGUUGUUGGGUAGGGGAGCGUUCUGUAAGCCUGCGAAGGUGUGCUGUGAGGCAUGCUGGAGGUAUCAGAAGUGCGAAUGCUGACAUAAGUAACGAUAAAGCGGGUGAAAAGCCCGCUCGCCGGAAGACCAAGGGUUCCUGUCCAACGUUAAUCGGGGCAGGGUGAGUCGACCCCUAAGGCGAGGCCGAAA